rnacentral:lncRNA from 1 species
UUCAUGAAGCAUAUAGACUAAGGUCGCUGCAACGAGCGGAGUCGUGCCAGAGAAGGAAUGAACCUGAACUCUUUGAUUGUAUGCGGGAUCGUCAUCAGCGCUCUGCUAGGCCCUGUAGAAGGAGUUGGAGUGACGUGUCGGAGGUCCUGUGCGAAGCCGCCGAAAGGAGACUGCAAAAUGCUUACUGAGGCACAGCGCAAGAUCACCACUAGAGUACAUUACUUCCCCGGGGCUGGCAGCAGGUGUUACGCGUAUCCACAGCGCUUCUGCAAGGGGUACCAUUACGAAAACCAGCACGACUGCGAGAGAUGUUGCAAACACCGUUUUAAGUAAACGUUCGUUAA